AAAGCCCGGAAGGGAGGCUGCGGCAUCAGAGGGGGACCUCUUGCCAGCCGUGCCCCCUUGGGAAGAAGGCCAAGAGCGUUCCUCCUCCCAGGAGGAGAUGGAUGCCAUGUGGGCCGUGUGUGACUCCCCGUCAACAUCGCUGAGUCGGCGUGCAAGGGAGGACGGGCAACACCAAACUUGGAGGAAGUACACCUCUGGGACCAGUGGGAUGUGACUCUCUUCUCUCAAGAAUGGAGGAAGGUUAUGUAACCGACUGGCAGCUCCAAUUCAACAUCCCCACCAGUACUUUGUGC
rnacentral:lncRNA from 1 species